UACGUAGGGCGCAAGCGUUGUCCGGAAUUAUUGGGCGUAAAGAGCUCGUAGGCGGCUUGUCACGUCGGGGUGUGAAAGCCCGGGGCUUAACCCCGGGUCUGCAUUCGAUACGGGCUAGCUAGAGUGUGGUAGGGGAGGAUCGGAAUUCCUGGUGUAGCGGUGAAAUGCGCAGAUAUCAGGAGGAACACCGGUGGCGAAGGCGGCAUCCUGGACCGGCAUUGACGCUGAGGAGCGAAAGCCAGGGGAGCAAACGGG
rnacentral:rRNA from 1 species